rnacentral:lncRNA from 1 species
CAUGCGCAGAAGCCGUUUCUCGCGCAGCCAAGUCGGUCUACCUUGUAUCUAUAUACUUUGAGGCAGUGUAUAGAAGGCGGUGACUUAUUACAGAGUGGAAGUAUUGUUUUUCUUCUUUAGAAGAAAAAACUAGUUUUUAUAGAAAUUUAAGACAAAAUUUCUAGGCAAUCGGAGGACAAAGGAGGAAUUCCUGGAGGUCAACUAUAAUCUCCAGGAAUAGAAAUAGAAAGAAAGAAAGAAUUUCUAGGCAGACGGAAAUGGAACCAAAAUCUAAUUUCGAACGUGGACCAGAAUAUAUAUCACUAAACGAUAAUGCUGAAAAACUAAAUAAAAAACGGAAAUCUGUUAGGAACAAGCGUAAGCGGCCACAUUCAGCAAAUGUCAACACCAUGGUCAACACCACAUGUUUUCCUUGGAUUACACCUAGUACCAAAUAUAGUCCAGUUACUAUAAUUGCGUAAGUAUUUACACUUGUAGAGUAAAUGAGGUUAACUAAAUACUUCAUACUUCAGUAGUUCUUGCUUCUAUUGCAAUUAUUAUAUCACAUACCAAUCA